ACUCAUACCUUGCAGAGAAAAUACUAUGUCAUAAAAGUGGUUUUCCCAGGGGUUGGCUCAUCCAUUGCACUUUGGGUGUGCUGCUGAUCUCUGUGAUUUCCCCAAAUGUGGGGAACUCAUCUGCAUAAUUUGUGUUAAUGGAAAAUUGCACUUAUGAUUAACCCUGUUUUUUUCUA
ensembl:snRNA U1 U1 spliceosomal RNA